rnacentral:lncRNA from 1 species
UCAUCUGUCAUCCCCAAAGACAGGUUUUCUAAAACUAUUCUCAACCCACACAUGACCUAUCCAUGUGUUCCACUAAAAACAAACAGGUUUAUUUAGUACAGUUCAAAGACAGCAACUGGCAGUAACUGAAGAACAACCUGCUUGGGAUAUGUUGUUGCUGUUAUUGUUUUAGACAGGUUCUACUGUGUCUCAGUCUGGCCUCAACCCCCUGAUCUGUCUGCCUCCCUUCCUGAGAGCUGGCAUUAUACACAUGCACCACCAUGAUCCAUUUAUCCUGUUUUUCUCCGUCUAGUAUGAUGUUGGCUCUAGGCUCAGUAUAUAUAAUCUCCAUUAUGUUGAGAUAUGUUCCUUUUGAUUCUGAAGUUUUCAGGCUUUCACCAUGAGGGAUCUUAGAUUUUGGUCUGUGGCCUUUUCUUCAUCUGUUGAGAUAAUGACAUGAUUUUUAUCUUUGAAUCUGUUUACUGAUUUGUAUAUGUUGAUCUAUACCCAAAGUCUCUGGAAUGAAGCCAACUAGAGCAGAGGGAAUAGUGACCUUUCUAAUAUGUUCUUGGAUUAAGUUUGAAGUACUUUGUUGAGAAUUUUUGUAUCUGUAUUCAUCAGUAAGAUUAACCUUUCAUUUUCUUUUUGAUGUGUUUUUGUCCAGUUUUGGUAUGGGGUCUUUGGGACUGGUCUUAUUAAAAGAGGUUGAAAGCAUUUCUUCAUUUCCUACUUUGAGGAAUAAUUUAAGAAGUAUUGAUUCAACUUGGGUAGAAUUUGGCAGGAAAUUCCUUAGGAUCUGCCUAUUCUUUUACUGUUUCAAUCUUAUUGCCGAUUGUAGAUCUGUUUAAAUCAUUUGUUUUGGCUUAACUUUGGUAAGUCAUAUAUACCCGGAAAUCCAUCCUUUUCCUUUAGAUUUUACAACUUAGUGAAACAUGUGUGCAUUGGUUACUUUGUUCAUUCUUAUGAUAAAGGACCUGACCAAAAAACUUAGAGACAGAAGAAGGGGGUCAUUUUGGCUCAUACUGUUUUUUGAGGAUACAGACCAUCAUUGGCUUCAGGAGAGUGAAUCUUCUAUUUUUCUUCAAGUAUUUUUCUCUAUUUGUUUGGUCAAGAUGAUUUGCCUAUUGGUGAGUUGGCAUUAAACUCAUCCACUAUUACUGUGUUGGGAGAAAAAUAUGACUCUGCCUUUCAUACUUUGUGCUCCCGGGGUCAACAUAUGUAUGCUUUAAAUUGUACUGACUUAUCAGUGGCUUCUUCCCUUAAUCAGUAUGAAGUGACCUUCUCUAUAAAUAGGGGAGGUGAGCAUAUACAUGUGUGUGCAGGUGCAUACAGGUGGAGGCCGGAAUUCAGACUCGGGAACCACUCUUAAGUAGCUAUCCACCUUGGUUUUUGAGGCAGGAUCUCUCACUGGGAUACAGGUCUCACUAAUUAGCUUAAGCUGGCUAGCCAGCAAGCCACAAGGAUCUUUCUGGCUCCACACUAUGGGAAAGCAGACAAUAAACACCAGAUUUCAAAUCACUUCUCUGAAAAGGUCAAGGGAAAUUGGAAGCCAGUGCACUCUCCUAACAAGUGGUUCUUCCCUUGGAGAACUGCCAAGGCUUGAAAAUAUCUUAGGGAGCAGUCAUCUGUAGGCACUCAAGAGAGAUGCCUCACCCAGGCAUGGAAGCAAGGGAUGCUGAACACAUGAUGGAUCUGUGCUUCAGGGGAAAAAACCAUAUCACUGCAUGCUCAAUGUUAACCUGACAUUAGAAAUCAGGUUAAAAAAGAAAAACACCAAGUAUUCCAAAGUAGCCCAGUUUGAGAAGAAAUCUGCCUUGUAGGCAGAAGGGUGAUUGAAAAAGAGAAUUUCUUUCAGAUUUUGGAUCCCUUUGGCUGCAAACAGAGUGCAGGUUAUCUCUGUGUUAACACACCUAUAGGCUUUUAUGCAGCUCAUUGUUAACAUGCACGAAGUCCUGGGUUCCACCCUCAGCACAUUGGGAAGAAGGAAGAAGAUGAAGAGGAGGAGGCAUGGAGGAAUCUGAAAGUCAUCUAGCACAAUUCUUUGAAUCAGAAUGCUUUUGAAGACCAUCAUAGAAAACCACAACUGGACACAAUGCAGGACUCAAUGGCUCCUGAGGAGUCCAGGCCCAAUGUGUGCAUCUGCAUCACUCAGAUAACAUCAUGGAGGAAGAGAUGAAAAUAUUGCAAGAGCCAGAAUACCAGGAAACCUGCUGUGGAAAAGUCUUUCCUAGAAAUGGCUUCAUAAAGAAGAUCAGAACCCAGAGCCAUGGCAGUAUCAGUGGAUAUAUUGACAUGGAAGGAGGGAAGUCUGUAUGGGUCCCACCCCUACACAGGCAACUAGCAACUGGUGGGAGAAGGAGACUUAGCCUCUCUCAGGCAUGAGUUUCCUUACUGGCAAAUCCCACAGACUCAAAGAGAAUCCCACUGACCCAAAUUCUGGCCAAAUUAAAGCAAGCUAUAUUCAUAUACAUGAGCUCUGGCUGGUGGCUGACUCUACCUAAGGCAGAGUUGAAGAGAUUAGCCCUGAGCCUGUUUCUCAGGCUCCUUUUAUAGGGCAAAACCAUAGAGUGGGGAACAAGCAUGGUUACAGAAGCAAGACCAGGCAGUUAAGAUUAUAAAGCAGUUAAGGGAAUCUUCCUGGAACAUUUUUUACAUACACUCUAUGGUUAUGGGGUGGGACGCAGCUCAGCUCUGAGGAACAGAAACUCAAGUUUUACAGUAAAUAGGAAUUUAACUGAGCUAGAGAAUCAAAAUGGCUCCUGAUUACAAAAUGGAGGUUGACUGAUUAUAAAAUAUCUAAUACAGAGUGGUCAGCCUUGAAACCAUAUACACACAACAAAAACAGACUCAGGUUACACACGCAUUCACAUACAUACAUAUAUAUGCAUGUAAUGAAAAGGCUAUCAGAUGUGCCAGUCCCAGCUGAGUAUCACUACAGUGAGCAGCCUUAGCUAUAUAGCACAUAGGGCAAUCCCUGGAGAGGCCAGUCAGCUUCCCAGAUCAGGGUCAGUAGCAAAUGACCACUGCUAGAACAGAUUCUGUGUUAGGGCCACCUGCUGAGUGUCAGUGACUGACUGGCACAGUCAUUCCCAUUUGGACAAGAUAUGUGUGCAGUUGCACGGGAAUGGUACAUGAACAGGACCUGGACACACACGGCCAGCCUUACACAACCAUGGGAUACCCUUGAUGUCUGCUUCUGUACUCCAGGUCUGUGCUGGGCACUCCAGACAGAGAUGAGUGAGAAAGGUCUUCAGACCUGAGGACAGUCCUGUCCAUUUAUUGGACAGAACAUCCAUAAGUAAGUAUAGAACUUACCUGCUAGAACAGAUACACAGAGAAGUCCACGAGGCCAUGGUGAGGGUGAUGUUUAAACAUGCCUCUAAAGUGUGAAUCACUCACUGGGCAGAUGGCAUAGGGUGGGGACAAUAGGCAUGUGCCAAACAGAACUCUGAAUCAUCAGCUUGGCACAGUUGGCUGCUUACAAGACCUAUG